GGUCGAAGUGGCGUCGAUUUAGAGAGUCCCAUUUAUACCAUCACUUCCGAGGUGCACUUCCUCUUCGCUUCGUCUGCUGUUGUACGAGCAUCCUGGCUAGCGAAUGAGCUGAAUAAGGGAUCAAAUACGGUAUCAAUGUUGUUGAUCGGGCAUCCAUCCCUGCUCCUUCUGGCUGCAGUAGUGGACGCGGCAACCUGUACAGACCAUAGAUAGUCGAAUUGCCAACAAUCAUGACCUUCAGAGAUGAGACCUCUGAAGCGACCCAGACAAGGAUGUAAAUUGGUACUCUACAUGAAAUGGUGUCAUGAUGAACCAUCUCUACCUUAACACCCAGAUAGAGUCUGGCCCCAGCCCAUAGGAUCAAUUUGAAGACCUCCAAGGCACGUAACCUCCUGCAGAGAUGAGGAUUCUGACGACGCAAUGGUAAUUUACGCAUGAUGGUGUCAUGAUGAACCAUCUCUACCUGGACACCCAGAUGGGAGUCUUACCCCAGUCCAUAUAAUCAAUCUCAAGACCUCCAAUACACCUGACCGCCUGCAGAGAAGAGGAUUCUGAAGGGAUGGGAAUUUCAGCGUUUAGCUUAAAAAGACCUCCAAGACGCGUAACCUCCUGCAGAGAUGAGGAUUCUGACGACGCGAUGGCAAUUUACGCAUGAUGGUUUCAUGAUGAACCAUCUCUACCUGGACACCCAGAUGGGAGUCUGACCCCGGUCCAUGGAAUCAAUCUAAAGACCUCCAAGACACCCGUCCUCCUGCAGAGAAGAGGAUUCUGAAGGGAUGGGAAUUUCAGCGUUUAGCUUAAAAAGGACCUCCAAGACACGUAACCUCCUGCAGAGAUGAGGAUCCUGACGAAGCGAUGGCAAUUUACGCAUGAUGGUGUCAUGAUGAACCAUCUCUACCUGGACACCCAGAUGGGAGUCUGACCCCAGUCCAUAGAAUCAAUCUCAAGACCUCCAAGACGCGUAACCUCCUGCAGAGAUGAGGAUUCUGACGACGCGAUGGCAAUUUACGCAUGAUGGUGUCAUGAUGAACCAUCUCUACCUGGACACCCAGAUGGGAGUCUUACCCCAGUCCAUAGAAUCAAUCUCAAGACCUCCAAGACACCCGACCCCCUGCAGAGAAGAGGAUUCUGAAGGGAUGGGAAUUUCAGCCUUUAGCUUAAAAAAGUAAUAUUUUGGGACUCACUUGGAGAGCUAUUGAACUUUGAUCUAUAACAGUGAGAUUUUACUUCAGUCCGUGUUGUUGAUACUUUGUGAGAAUAACAAGUUCUGAGUUUACCAAACUCGUUUUUCGCUUUUGUGUCAGUGCCUGGAAAAUCUAACUUGAAUUUGUUUUAUCACGCCAGUGAUUAGAUCAACAGAUUCCAGCAGUGGGAAUGAAGACCCAGAAAGAAUAUAAAAAUGUAAGCAUUAUUCAGGUUCUGUCAAAUGAAGAUACUUGGCCCUUCAAAAUUGGCAGUACAAUGUUGGAUUUGGAUAGUUAUUAUAAAGCUGCACUUGAUUUACUUGGGUCCAUGUUGUUGAAACUCAUUAGAAAUGUUCAGUUAAAGGCAUAUUGUACGAUUUUCAGUGAUAUGCACUUUUUAAUAUGUUGUUGAAAUUGGUUUUUACAUCCUGACAGCAAUAAAUAACUUAUGGGCAAUGAAAAAGAAGCGAAAAAAAAA